AAGCAGCAGGAUGGCAAACUGCAGGCUGGGAAUGUGGCUGCCAAAACCACCACAAGGAGAGUGGGGCAUAGAGGCAUCUGUGGAGCAUUCUGUUUGUUAAUUGCUCAUGGAAUUUCAGGCUGAAAGAGAAGAAAGGAAUCUACCAGGUGGCUGCAUCUUGAAAAACAGGCCUUGUCUUCCUGUCCCAUUUUGCAGCAGUCCUGUGUGUGGGAGAAGUACAGCUGUGGGAUGCCUGAUGAACAGAGGUGCUUGAACAACUGGCCUUCAGCUCUGUCACCUUCUUUGGUGGUUGCAAAAACAAAACAAAACAAAACAAAACAAAACCAACCACACGCACAAAAAAAGACAAAAAAAUCCAAGCCAAAGAUAGUUUAUGUACAGCUCAGGAAGCUCCCAGCAAUGAGUGUGUCUGUGAUUUAAUAAUACACCUACCCAAAAUGACACCUCUUCUACCACUCACUGAGAAAAAGAAGGCAGAGCAGCACACAAGGCACUGCUGUUGCAGCAACAAGCAGCCAAACUGCCAGGUAUUUAUUUUUCAAUGUACACAAUUAUUGGGGGAGAAUAAAAAUUAUUCUUUGACACUCUGAGAGAGCUGUAAAAAGCCCUGUGCUUCCCCUACUCCCAUGGUCGUGGCAAGAAACACCUCACAAAUUCUAAUAAAUAGAGAAUAGAAAUAAAUACUUUAACUACACAGCAUCGGGUUUCAAAUGGCUUCCUGAAUCAGAAAGUGCUGCUAGUCCAUCUUCCUUAUUUCCACACUCUGUAAUGGUGGCUCUCCAAAAGUCAAAGUGAGAUGGAUACUACAAGGAUCACAGACACUACACUGGGAAACCAAGUAUCAGUGGCUACAUCCAGAUUUAUGGUAGGUGAUGGCAGUAAAGUGAAAGUAAAACUGUUUGCACAGUCUGUAUUGUUGGCCAUUACUGUGUAUUUGCCCUUUUUUCUUGCUUAGCUGCAGCUGGAAGAAUGGAAAAUUGUACCUUCUCUACAGUAUUAGAAGACACUUUCUGAUCGUAAGGUCAAUCAGACUGGUUUAGCUGCUUGAGGUAUUUAUGGCACCAUCACUCAGUGUCUUUAAGGAAAGGUUAGAUACAUUUAUGGGAAAGGUAUUUUGCAGAAGCUUUCCUGCUUCAUAGAGGUCUUGGACAAAAUGACCCAGGAGGCCCCUUCCAAGUCUAUCAAAUGUGGUUCCCUGAUUGAUGCUGUUUCCCCCCAAAGUCUUUUCAAAACACAAAGCACUGUUAUAAAAUUUAAUAUGAUACACUAUAUAACUUUAACACAAUGCCAUUUUCUUAUAGGAAAUGGUUAGCUGGUAGCACAGGAGCCUCGUGCAAGAGGAAAAAAAGGUAGAAAAAAGAAAUUGCAGUGCAGUUUCUCUGCUGAGGGAUAUCGACUGUAACAUUUACUCUGCGUCUGACCACGGACUCUCAGCUGUGCAGGGGGACACCAAGCCAGGGAAGGGUAUAAGGAACCCAGGCUUAUUUAUUUCUCCAGAAAAGCCUGACAAGGCCUGAGGUAAUUUUCUGUGCUGUGCAAUAAUCAUUCCCUCAAUGCUGGGGAGCAAACAGACACCCAGCUCUCCUUGUAAAUCACUGCCUGGUGCUGUACUGGCUGGGCAGAGGCAGAGCUGCCUGGGGAGCAGGAGAGGAGCAGGAGGCACAGGCUGGAGCUCAGGUGUGUCCUGCACCUCUGAGAACACCCCACAAGGAGAAGAGCUGAGCUCUGAAACUCAGCACUCUGUGCCAUGGCCCUGGCCUGGCCUGCUGCCACCCCUGCUGCACCAUGGAGCAGGGGAGUGAAUCCCUGAAAACUGUGAGUGCCAAAACUGCACUUCUAUAAAAGGGCAGCAGCACCCCUGGUAACGUGUUUGUCUGCUGAGUAAAGAUUCAGCAAGAGAGCUUGGGCCACAUUUCCCCUGUCUGAAUACAAGAUUGUUUGUCAGGCAGAAUGCUCUCCAGGUCUUCUAUGUUUCCACCAAACCAUUCAGUAAAAUGAUAAUAUUCCUCUCCCUACUAUAUUUCCCUUUUUUUUUUGUUUUAAUUUUCUGAAUGUUUCCUAAAUUGGCUUUUUUUUAACCGUUAACAUAUUUAAAAAUUAAAUUCAUGUGAUGAUUUUUAAAAAAACAACAAGAAAAACCCAACCAGAUUCUCUGGGCCAUCUGGUUGAAAUGCUCUGGUCAGCCUCCACUGCUCUGUAGUAAGUUUUAAUUUUAGAUUUUCACAGGGAAAAAAAAAAGAAAGAAAAAAAUACCCAGAAUUUUAUUGAAUUGGAGUUUACUCUCAAAAUAAUUUUAUAAUAACCUUUUUAUUUUCAUUCUGACUGAUUUAGUUAAAGGCCAAACUCUUCUUCCAAAAAUCAGCUCCCAGCCCCCAUCUUCUUGGGAUAGCCCUGACAGGAAAUAACAACAUCCAUACACAGACACUCUGAAGCCUUUUGAAGUCUCACAAAUGUGAGCUGUUCCCUUUUGCAGAGCAGGCUGGGAUUAACUCUUUUAUUAACCUUAUAACCUCAUCCAUGAGAAAAAAAAAUAGUCAAUCCCUUUUAUUUUAUUUCUUUUAAAAUCUGGAUGCAUGCUGCCUUCUCUACCCAAACAUUUGUGAGCUCACCCUACAGACAGGAGCAAAAGAGCCCUUGGAAAGCCUCCUCUCCCUGAGGAGCUCCCCAAAGCCCCCAUUGGCCCUCCCAUUAUGUUGCACUCAGUGUCAAAUUUUGUGUUUUCACUGGAAAAUAUUUUCGCUUUACAGGAGGGUUGUGUCUCUGUGUAUUGGUGGGAGCAAAUAACAACCUUUUGGUCCUUUUCAACACAUUGCAUCAAUGUAUUUUCCUGAUUCUCAUGUCAAAAAAAGCAUCUUUUAGCAGAAUGAAAAAUCUGACCUGGGUGUAAUCCUGACAGUGCUCCAAUUGCUCAUCCUUAGCUUCAUCCCUGCACUGCAGUGCAUAGAAAGAGGCUCACAUUGGAAUAGCUCUUCUCACCAGUGUCAAAAUGGUAAAACUUUGCUCAGAGAGUGACAUGAGCAGGAAUUUCAAAGGCAGGAAAAUUUAUCUCCUGCUCUUUGUCUUACUCUAUGGUGCACUGUGGUGGUUGGAAGAUUUAACUUCCAACCAUCCCAUAUAUAUAAAUCCUAGUGGAAAACAACUCCCCAGCUUCUUUUUUUUUUAGGGUGUUGAGCUCAGCAGCUGGAAUCUGCCAGGGAAUGAUAGCCAAGAUAAGGAUGGAGAAAAACUUUGUGUAGCCUUCAGGUGUUGGUCAAGGGUGAGGAUUAGGGAACAGCCAAAGCCAAACAGAGCUCUGUGUGUCACACAAGGUCACAGCUCUUUAGUUUGGGGUUUGGGCCAGUCCUGCCCCUGCCCUGCUCAGCUCAGCCCAUUUACUGCUCUGGUGAUACAGCCCCUCCUGGGCUUUCUGCUUUUCAAAGGUUUACACUCAGUUUAAAUCUCAAUCAAAAGCUCCACUUUAGCUUUUAGGAGGCCAAGACACUUACAAAUCUCCUGUGAGAAGGGCAAGUGAGGAAGGCAGAGUGUCUCUCCCUUGCAAAGGCAUUCAGACACCCCUUGGAUGAGGAGUUUCUAGCUGCUUUGCUGGAUAAACAGACACAGCACAGUUCUAAUGUGCAGGGGUGCCCUUCACACCAACAGGCAGAGAAAAGAGGCAAUGGGAAGAGUAAGAGGCACCACAAUAAAAAAAGGCAGGAGUUCCAACUGAAAUUUUACCCUCUUUGAUUUUUGAAAAUGGGAAAACCCAUUCGGGAUCAGGGAUUUCCAGACUGGGCUGUAUGCACCAUUAAUUGUUCCAUGAAGCAGAGCUGGUCUGCUAUUGUUGUAUCCUUCCAAAAACAGCUGUUACUAUGAGCUCUGUGGGACUCAGGAACUCCAUUUCCCAGUUUUCACUUAGUACUUCAGUGAUCAUAUAUAAAUAAUAGUAAUGAUAAUCAUAACAAUACCUGGCUUGCCAUUAUGUUGUACUCAGCCUUUGUGAUGCUCUCUCAUGAUAAAAUCUGGGUAUUAAACACUUUAACUGAAACUCUUAAUAAAACAGAGAUAUUUUUACUUGUGCUGUUAUAUUCACAUUGUGAUCACAAAGCACUUUACAGAAUCAAAUGGAAGUAGCCAGUCUGAUCCUUGUAUAGAGAAUUUUGUGCAUCUCAGCAGUGUGUAACAAAGCUGCUGUACAGACAAGUAGCUGUCAAACAUACCAUGUUUUGGGGUUUGUCCUGGCUGAGCAGCAUCCAAAAGCUUGGGGUUUGUCCUUCAGGUUGGCAUCAAAGUCUGUAAAGCCACCACAAAUUGCACAACAAGAGGGAAUGUACAGUCUCACCAACUAGACAAGGACAAGCUGUGGUGUCUCAUUAUCAAGGUCCCUGGGUCUAAAAGGAAAAAAGAAAAAGGUUAUAAUUUUCCAGGUUUAGGAGAAAAGCCAUGGAAGUCUUGGAGUUGAGUAGUGAGCAGCCUCCAUGGGGGUCACUGCAAGGGGACAAGGCAAAUGCUCAUGGUAAAUGGUGCCUUCUGAGGUCUGAGAGGGUCUCCAGCUUUGGGCCCUGUACCAGGUACUUCUGGAGCUGUGAGACAGUGAGGGGCUUUGUUCCCUCCUGUAUAAUUGAUAAAUUACCAUUGUUAGCACUAAACAAUACAACUGAGCACAGAAUGGAAACACGCUAAUGCUUUAUCCAGCUCCAGCAAUUCUGCUCCUGUGCUCACACUGUUCUUAAAUGUGCUAGGUAUUUAUUUGAUGAAACAAUAAGUUUUAGAAAAGAGAAAAAUAAGAACUUCAAAGAUAAUAAAAACCUUGACUACAUACUUUACCACAGGCAGCUGUGAAUAAGCUUCAGUACUCUUUAUUUUUAACAUUCCAGAUAUGUAAUUUAAUGCAGGUCUAAUGACAGUCUCGAACAUGCUGCUUUAAUCGAAAUUGUUCAAGCUCUGUUCUGUGACAAGGGCUCACAAGAUACCAGCAGGGUUGUCCAUUUUCCCCACUUCUGUAGGGAAAAGAAAAAGGAGGGGGGGGGGACACUCUUGAACUUAUGUUGCUAUUGAUGUGUAAUAUACAAUAAAAAAACAGUUAAAUUUCAAUUACCCACAGGUAAUUAUAAUUUUAUUGUUUGACUGUACUAUGGGGAAUUUUGUAAUUCCCAAGACUAAUAAUUUUCUAUAAUUUUACAGGUUGUCAAAUAAACUAUUAAAGAUUAUCUU